CAGUGGCCAAGUGGAUAACGCGAUGACGUUUGAAGCGAAAGGUACUGGGUUCGAGUCCCAGAGUGAA
rnacentral:tRNA from 11 species